GCGGCGCUGACAGGUUACUGUAGAGAGCAGAGAGCUGUUGAAAGUUUCUAGCUGCUGAAGCAAGCCAUGGAUCCUGCUGGUGCUCUGUCAGCCAGCUCUUUGCAGGUGUCUCAGGUGCCCUGAAUGUAUUUCAGACAUCUGUGCAUGACAAGGAGGUUUUGUAGAAGUGCAACUGUGUAAACAACUGGUGACAGAAGGAGCUUUAAUGACACAUGGCACAUGUUG